GACGAACGCUGGCGGCGUGCUUAACACAUGCAAGUCGAACGGAAAGGCCCUGCUUUUGUGGGGUGCUCGAGUGGCGAACGGGUGUGUAACACGUGAGUAACCUGCCCUUGACUUUGGGAUAACUUCAGGAAACUGGGGCUAAUACCGGAUAGGAGCUCCUGCUGCAUGGUGGGGGUUGGAAAGUUUCGGCGGUUGGGGAUGGACUCGCGGCUUAUCAGCUUGUUGGUGGGGUAGUGGCUUACCAAGGCUUUGACGGGUAGCCGGCCUGGGAGGGUGACCGGCCACAUUGGGACUACGGUACGGCCCAGACUCCUACGGGAGGCAGCAGUGGGGAAUAUUGCACAAUGGGGGGAAGCCUGAUACAGCAACGCCGCGUGCGGGAUGACGGCCUUCGGGUUGUAAACCGCUUUCGCCUGUGACGAAGCGUGAGUGACGGUAAUGGGUAAAGAAGCACCGGCUAACUACGUG
rnacentral:rRNA from 1 species